AUUGAACGCUGGCGGCAGGCCUAACACAUGCAAGUCGAGCGAGAAAGCCCUUCGGGGUGAGUAGAGCGGCGGACGGGUGAGUAACGCGUAGGAAUCUACCCAGUAGUGGGGGACAACUUGGGGAAACUCAAGCUAAUACCGCAUACGCCCUAUGGGGGAAAGCGGGGGACCUUCGGGCCUCGUGCUAUUGGAUGAGCCUGCGUCGGAUUAGCUAGUUGGUGGGGUAAAGGCCUACCAAGGCGACGAUCCGUAGCUGGUCUGAGAGGAUGAUCAGCCACACUGGAACUGAGACACGGUCCAGACUCCUACGGGAGGCAGCAGUGGGGAAUAUUGCGCAAUGGGGGCAACCCUGACGCAGCCAUGCCGCGUGUGUGAAGAAGGCCCUAGGGUUGUAAAGCACUUUCAAUUGGGAAGAAAAGCUGCAGGUUAAUAACCUGUAGCCGUGACAUUACCUUUAGAAGAAGCACCGGCUAACUCCGUG
rnacentral:rRNA from 1 species